UUUCACUUCUUCACUCUUCAUGAACCAAUCACAGAAUUGAACGAAACGAAGUACGAUGAAGUGUCCAUACGACCAUAGGCAUAAAAUCAUGAGGAAUACCAAGCAUAGUUCUUCUUACAAUCCAAAAUAAAUCUUUAGGAAGAUGCUGGAUUCAAGUAUGCCAAGGAUAUCGAAAUACUAAUAAAGAUGGGCAAUUUGGUAGGGAUGCAUUAUGUCCGAUUGAACAUGCUAUAUGAUAGAUUAUCUGAAACGAUUAUGAUUUUAUCACCAGAUUUGGGAUUCGAACAAAAUUAUAAUCAUUUUUUUUAUUAUUUUUUAAAUUAUAAUCAUACAAUUAUAUAGAAAUUAUCACAAAUAAAACGGAGAAAAAUAAUAGCAUUUGUAAUAAAAAUUGAUAUAUUUGUUUUA